GACAUUCAUACUUAUUUCGUUUCGCCGAGCAGCGCUGUUGUGUUUGUGUUAUACAUGACCUCCCGCCCUCACCGACCGUCAAACAAUCAUGUCAAUACGGAGCUAUACGGAGCACUCCGCAUUGUUAAAACAUUUGAGAGGCGCACGGCGAUGCGGAACAGAGCUCAAUUUGGCCUCUGCGUGCCUCUGGAGGCUCCUCUAUUGCGCCACACCAUCCACACCGCGCCUCAGACCACAUUUUCAGAUCAAGAAUAAAAUGGCUCUUAGCUUUUGGUUACAGAGAGGGAACUCUUUGGUUAGACACAGUUCAAACUUUAAAAAAUACAAAAUGUACUGAUGACGGAGUAAUGACCAGCUCAUAUUCAUUGUCUUGUUUAAUAAAAAAUGAAUGUCUCUAAUAUUGUCAGCAAUACUCACAAUGUACGUAUAUCUUUCCUGUAAAUUGCAUAGAAUUACUGGUAAAUGUAGACAACCUCAUAACAAUUUAGAUAUAGGCCUAUGGAUUACAGGACUUGGUUUUGCAUAAUGAUAAAAUCAAUUUGUGCCUAAUCAAUUCAUACAUUUCCUGUGUGACAGAUCAAAUAGACAGUGUCCAUCUAAGAUGGGAUGGUGAUUAUAGGUCUGGUGUGGGUGAGACUGGGAAAAAAGACAUCUGUAUUUGUGAUGUUUUUUUUUUUAUGGCCAUGUGAGUGUUACAUAACAACCUCAAUUGCUGCAAUUUGCACACUAAAUUAUGUUUAUCUGACUCACAUUGUCAGACAGCAUCUUCUGUUUAUUUGAAUAAUAAUACCACAUGGCUCUUUUAAAAAACCCUUGAGGUAAUUCAAGUGUUAGACUAUUGGCCAUGUGGCUGAUUUAUAAAUAACCUAAAUGUGAAUUGUUUUGUAAUUUAGGCCUAUAUUACAAAAAUUAACUACAGAGAUAUGAUUUUGUUUUGCAAUUAUUUUCUUUAAUAAAUAUAGUUAUUGUAAAUGGUGGGGGUGGUCUUUAAUUAUAAUGUCAACUAUAGUCUCCUCAAUUUCCAGGAGUAGCUGGUUGCCAGGCAACUAGGGAGAGGAACCAUGGUGACACUGAGGGAAGAGGAUGGAGAAACAAGUGGGGUCUGAUGAGGAGGACAGUGUCUUUAUGUAUUGUAACAUUGUUUCCAUGUAAGUACACCAUGGUCUUGUAGGCUAACCCUUUGUACUGGGAGUAUACCAUGUAUAUAGCCUCCUCUCUUAUUUCUUAUUUUGUGUGUUUUUUAAAUGUUCACAUUUUUAAUUAGUUCAACUUUUUUGAUAGUGAGUACUGCACUGUUGGGUAGGGUUUGCAUAUUAAUAAUUUCACUGUACUUGUGCAUGUGACAAAUACAGUUGAAACCUGGAGGACUGUUUAGUUUGGCUCUCAUUGGCAGAGGAAAAAUGCAAAUUGGCUACUGUGAAUUGACAACCCUUCUGCAAUUUGUCAACGUGUUUGGAAAUGACAGAGAGCCGUAGAGGCAAAUCAGAUGAUCUCAAACCUAUUUUUUCAUACACCUUGUUUGUGUAUAACAUAUGCAUAUACCAAAAUGGAGAGUCGAGGUACACCCUCUGUACGGCAUUGUCUUUUUCACUAUGCAGUUAUGCUUAUUAAUGGAUUGUAUUCAUUUCAUGUUGCCUCAGAGAUGGUUUGAGCACAGUAAUUAAAUCAUCCAGAUUUAGACCACCAAUGGGCCACAAGAUGGUGACAUAACAUCAGUAUGUGUCAGAGUUAAAGCAGCUUGAGCAGAGAGGUUUAAUUAUGCAAUGCUGUAGUCUCCAGCUGUAGUUGACAGUUUUUCGACAUGUGCUAUGGCAUAUGUAUCUUUGAUCUGUACAAUAAGAUAUUCUGUAACUGCCACCAAACAACAAAAACAAAGCACCCCGGCAUGAAAACACACACGCACACAAAUACUUAAUGGAACUAGUCCCAAUCAUAACUCUGCCAAUUUAGCAGAAUCAGGCUGGCAUGCUGUACUGUAAUCAUUUUACAGUUGGAUUGCAGUCCUGGUUUUUGGGAUCAGUAUGUCAUUGUGCUCCCACUGGUAUAUCCUUGUAGAGUCCUGUGUAAAGCAUGGUGCUUGCAACGCCACAUGAUUGUAGAUUUGAUUUACACGGGGGACCCGUAUGAAGAAGAAAAAUUAAGUAUAAGAAUGUAUGCAUUCACUAUUGUAAGGAACUCUGGGUAAGUGUGUCUGCUAAAAUGUAAAUGAGUCAGGACUCUAUUCUUCCUGGUUGGCACAUGGAUUGAGAAUCUAAGAAAGGAGUGUUUUGGAGCACUUACUUUGGGAUUAUGUGCUUUUAUAAACUGGGUGGUUUGAGCCCUGAAUUGUGAUUGGUUGAAAGCCAUGGUAUAUCAGACCAUAAAACAUUGAGUUUUACUGCUCUAUUUAUGUUGGUGACCAGUUUAUAAUAGCAAUAAGGCUCCUCAGGGGUUUAUGAUAUAUGGCCACUAUACCACAGCUAAGGGCUGUGUCCAGGCACUUUGCGCUGUGUCGUGCAUAAGAACAGCCCUUAGUCGUGGUAUAUUUGCAUGUACACUAGAUAGCGGUAAAUUGCCGCGUGCCGCUUUGGCCGUCCAUUGUGACUCGCUUGUAGGCGUGCUGGCAGCAUAUGGCAGCAAAUAGUUUGUGCGUCAAGAAUUCGGCAUAGCUAGUUUGUAUGAAGGUCUGGGUAUUAAAUGGGUACAUAGUUCAAAAGUAAUAUCCUCUAAAACGCUCUAGUGACAAAGUCUUUGUUGCCUUGUUUCCAAUUGUCCACAUGGCUGGGAGAACCUAUUCAAGUAGCUUGCUAACAGCCAUGGAGGAGGGUGAAAGGAGAGCAGCCCCAACUGUCAGUGAGAGAGGAGGCUAUUCUGGAUAGGGCAGGUACUUGUGUAAUUCCUGUCCCUAGAAGUGAGGACGGAGAUAAUAGUAACAUAAUAUUCAGUUCGGUGUAAUUUGACUAUAAUGAAGUCUGUUUCUUGUGAGGUUUUCUGUCCUCAGAUAAAGAGCACUACGAAAGCCUGUCUACAUAUGAAGAGCAGUGGUUCUCAGUCCUGGGGACUCAAAGGGGUGCACAUUGUUGUUUUUGCCUUAGUACUGCACAGCUGAUUCAAAUGAUCAACUCAUCAAGCUUCAAGUGAUAUUUAUGUAUUCAUUUGUGAUGCUAUCCUUGAUAUUAUCCUGUUAUUGUCACAUGUACAUAUGUGCGCCCAUGCAUCUAUCAAUCCAAUGUUAUCAGGUAUAUUAUACUUUAGUAAUACACAAUGACCUGGUGAUGUAAGUCUAAUCAUGACAUUGUCUUCCAUAUUCCUAGAUACCUUGUAACUGGAGAUUCCUUCAAAAUGAUUGCCUACAGUUAACAUGUAGGGCACUGCAAGGUUGGGUGACCAGAGCCAUCUGGGACUGCCUCCUGGGGGAAUUCAGGUGUGUGAAGGCUACCUGUGUCCUGCAUAACUUCAUGAGGAUGGACUCGAGGACCAGGAGGGGAUCUGCAGCUCGCCGGCGUGUGUCAGAGGAGGAGUCUGCUGCUCUGCAGGAUGUUUCAAGGAUAGGGUCCAACAACGCAGUAAGAGAGGCAAUCUGUGUGCGGGAGAUCUUCACCUCCUACUUCUUCGAAGAGGGUGCUGUUCCCUGGUAACACCAUAGACUACACUAUGCACAACCAAAGGCUCUUUUAAGAGCCAUUCACAUUGCAAUAAGAGUAUUCUUCCAUUUACUUAGCUAUGUCAACUGCAGUUAUUCAACUCCCAGUUUCUCUCCCUUUGAUUUCUACUUCUCAGGUGACGGUGCUGUUUAGGUCAGGGUGCUGUUUAGGUGAGGGUGCUGUUUAGGUGAGGGUGCUGUUUAGGUGAGGGUGCUGUUUAGGUGAGGUGCUGUUCAGGUGAGGUGCUGUUCAGGUGACGGUGCUGUUCAGGUGAGGGUGUGAUGUCUGUACAAAAACAACAGGCUCUUUUAAGUCACCCAUAUUGAAAAAAUGUAGAACAAUUAGACACCCUAUAACCCACACCUACACACUCAUGUAUCAAUCUGAUUGAUGGAUUGUGUUGUGCAGUAAGCAGGCUCAAGUGUAUCACUGUGGCUCAUUCCACCUUCAACAAAUAGGCAAGAGGGCCAACCAUGGAGAAUAGUAAGACACUUCCUUAUUUCUAUAACUACGCUAUAUUGUUUGUACUCAUGUGCCCGUUCAUGUUUUUCAGCAUUAAGUACCCUGCAGCCACUUACUGUGGUGUGGACACCAGGUUAUAUCAGCUGUGUCAGUGAACCCCUCCCGCAUCUGAACUGGCUACAUAGAGGGCACUUGGUCAAGUCAACAGGAAGUAUUAUUAAAGAGAUGCUUUACAGUGAAAUACAGAUAGGGAUGCAGUAGUCCCAGAGUUAAUCCAAGAUGUUUUGAUGUGAGAGAGGAUGCCAACUCCCAGUCCCGUCAUCGCCACCUCACCUGCUCUUAAGAUAACCUUUGGGCCGACUUGAGACACUAUUAUGUAAUUGUGAUGAACUGAGAGAAUAUUUGGGUUGCACUGUGAUUCAUUAAUCAUAUGCUGCCUUCCCUGCUCCUAUGUUCUUACCCCUUUCCCUUUGUCUUUUCCACCUCUUUCUUCCUCUGUUUUUAUAUUGCACAAAAGAUGUGCAUUGAUGUACAGAUUGAACUUGUAUUUAUAAUAUUACAAUUAUAUUUAUAAUGCAUGUAUUUAUAACACUUGGUUAAAGAACUUCUUUCAAUAAAGUGUUUAAUUCUC